UUUACGGGAGGCAGCAGUAGGGAAUCUUGCACAAUGGAGGAAACUCUGAUGCAGCGAUGCCGCGUGAGUGAAGAAGGCCUUUGGGUUGUAAAGCUCUUUCGUCGGGGAAGAAAAUGACUGUACCCGAAUAAGAAGGUCCGGCUAACUUCGUGCCAGCAGCCGCGGUAAU
rnacentral:rRNA from 1 species